GUUUCAUUAGUCAAACAGCCAAAAUGAACUCCAUCGUUGCAAUCCUAGUACUAAUUCUCAUUGGAGCUGCAAACGGUUCUCCAGUGAUUCAUGAGCUGCAGAUGUCUUCGUUGGUCAAGAGAUAUGAUGGACCGUUGCAUAGCAUGGGCUUGGACAGGAAAAAAGGCGGUCGUCGCCCCGCUUUAAUGCCACUAAGCAAAAAUCUGACAGAAGAAGAACUUAUUGAUUAUUCCGAAAUCUGUGUGGGGAUUGGCCUCGUGUGCCACCUGGCCGAGCAAUGUUGCACAAAGAUGUGCCUAAAAUCUGCGAAGCGGUGCACUUAUACACAAAAUGAUGUUAAAAAUUAGGUUUCCAAAAAGAAAAUACUAAUGUAAUGAUUAACGCAUAAGAAACCUUAUGGUCUUGCUUUGGGUGGGGGCUUGACAGCCAUAGGUGUGCAUCUGCUGCGAUCUACAGUCACUUUCAAUAAAUAAGGUGGAAAUAAGGUGCCAGAGUCCCACCAUUAGUCACCGCUAAUUCGCGAACUAGUUGCUUCUUGUUAUUAAGUGUUUUUCGCAAGUGUUUUUCGCAAUAUAUGUACAGAUGGAAAACAAUGUGCUUAAAAAAACGAUUAUUGUUUCUAGUCUUGUCUUGUAAGGACACAGAAUGGUUUAUAAAGAGAUGCACGACUGGGACUGGCACUCAUUCAACAUGAAUUCUAUCGUCUUUCUCUUGGUACUGGGUCUUGGCCUGGGAUUGGGUGUAAUUCUUAUUGAAACUACGAGCAGUUUUCCUGUUCCCAGCAGAAGAAUCAGUGCCACCACGACUCCCAUACACAUGGACACCACACCCGCUCUCAACAGCACGCCUCCUACUCGCAAAUUGCGUGUACAUAACUCUGAUUCCAGCCGCAAGAAGUUGCACAGGGUUAAGGCGUGGUUUUAUCAUCAUAUUAUGCCACUAUCCACAAAUCUUACCCAGAUUUAAAUGUUUCGUUUACAGAUGGAGCGCCUUGAAUAUUUUGAAAAAUGUCUUUCGGAGGGUCAGCCUUGCAGUGCAGCCGAGCAUUGUUGCAACAAAAAAUGUAUGACUGGGACAAACAUGUGCACCUCCUUUAAAUUGACUCCUAGAUAUUUAAUGGGUUUGAAUUAAAUCAAUAAUUUAAUGACAACAACCGGCCGGCCUGUGCUGAAGUUAAGGUCCAGUGUCCAACCAUUGUGGACCAUACUUAGUCACCGCCUACUGGCGCGCUAGUUCUUGUAAUUCAAGCCGCACAUGUUUUUCGCUUUUUACAGAUAGAAAACAAUGUGAUUUAUAAAUACCAUUAUUGAUUCGAGUCUUG